CGUGGGUAACCUGCCCCUGAAUUUGGGAUAACUUCGCGAAAGCGUAGCUAAUACCGGAUAUUGCCCUGUGGACUGUGGUCUGUAGGGUGAAAGAUGACCUCUUCAUGAAAGUUGUCGUUUAGGGAGGGGCUCGCGUACCAUUAGCUUGUUGGUGGGGUAAUGGCCUACCAAGGCGACGAUGGUUAGCUGGUCUGAGAGGAUGAUCAGCCACACUGGAACUGAAACACGGUCCAG
rnacentral:rRNA from 1 species